GUCCUUUUGUUAAGAAUAUAAGGUCUGGCCUGCCCACUGAUUUUUGAAUGGCUGCAGUAUUUUGACUGUACAAAGGUAGCAUAAUCAUUAGUUUUUUAAUUAAAAGCUGGAAUGAAUGGUUGGAUGAAAAAAUUACUGUCUUUGGUUGAAGUGUUGAAUUUAAUUUUUUAAUUAAAAAGUUUAAAUGUUUAUAAAAGACGAGAAGACCCUAUAGAGUUUAAUAUUUGAUAUUAUUAAUUUUUUGGGAUUUAUUAAUUUAAUUUUAUGAGAAUAUUUGGUUGGGGUGAUUAUUAAAUUAAAUUAACUUUUUUUAUUAAAUACAAUGAUUUUUGUUUAUUUGAUCCAUUAUUUUUGAUUAAAAGAUUAAAUUACCUUAGGGAUAACAGCGUAAUUUUUCUUUAGAGUUCUUAUCGAUAGAGGAGAUUGCGACCUCGAUGUUGGAUUAAAAUUAAUUUAUGGCGGAGAAGCUAUGAAAUUAGGUCUGUUCGACCUUUAAAAUUUUACA
rnacentral:rRNA from 1 species